UGUUGUUUACCUUUUCAGUAGUAAAAAAUUUGCGACAACCGGAGCAGCACGUAAUUUGUAGCUGUUUAUAAACAUUAAAAUCUUUCGUGGAAGUGUGAUGGAUGAAUGGAGUUUUUAGAAGAAGUGUGACCAAAACGAAUGAGGCAAUGGGUUGAGACACUACAAAUGUAUAAUAUACGUUCCAUUUUUUUUAUUUUCACGUAACUAAGCCACGCUCGGCAUGGUUUCUUUGAGGUACAAACAGAAUGAUAAUCGAAAAUCAGAUCCCUAUCAAGGUUAUGCGAUGAUCAGAUAUGAACGACAAGAAUAUUGCAACGCACGUUAUCGCAUUUGAUAUUUCGCGUUAAUUUCUUUUGUGUCAUGUGUAGGACUUACAAGACGAUAAACUAUAUAUGUAGUUGACAGGGACCAGUAACUACUAAUUCUUCUAUCAAUGCAUCGUCUGCUUGAUUCUACACUUGAAAAGUUUUGCGUUUUGGCACUUUGGACGAACGUAGACUCAAUCGCAUUGAAGCAUAGGUCGCAAAUGGAAAGUAUCAAUCGAGUUGAGCUGGAGCUCCAAAUGAAACGGUAGGAAGUGCUCCAGGAACAUUUAAAUCGUUGCGGUUGAAAGUACACUGGAAAAUCGAUGAAUGUACACCAUAACGUGAUUAUUUGCCGAAUAUUCGACCGCUACCGCUGUAACUAAAUAGAUAGUUUUAAAGUUCCAUUUCUUAAUAUAGCAAGUAUUUCGCGAAGGUAAAUCAUUACAGAAGUUUUAAGGUGCCAAAUUCAAUUUACAAAGGUCACAGUUAAUGAUAAACACCAUUAAAAGAUGAUAACAAUAGAGAGUAAUAAUUAUGUAUUGUACUGAACGGGUCGGACGUGUAAAUAAAUGUUGGAAGGUUUUGUGGAAAAACUGGAAAAAUAUGAUUUAAGAAAUAAAGGUAAAUCUCAUUUAGAGAAAUAUAACUUUACUACGUCGUGUUUCGCUCGUUAGGCCACAGCCUCUGUCUAACUAACGAAUUUGAUUCGGGCAACUAUUAGAUUCCAAUUUCCAGCUCUGAUUGUAGUCACGACGCAUCGGUUGUGUUUCAGACAUUACCCAUCCAUCUUAUUUGCAGAUGUGAUCGCCAUUGUCUCGAUAGGCGUGAACCGAAAUUAAGUAAAAGCGAAUUAAUAGGCCGUUGAAAAAUCGACAAUUUUUGACAUUCCAAAUGCACAAGAGUCUCUGUAUCAAAAUGACUUUUUUAACUUUUCAUGAAAGUAUUUUUAAUGAGAAGAUAAAUGCUUAUGAAAAAAUCGCAAAAAUGACAAUUUUGAUAAUGUUGUCUCAGAAUCGUACAAUGUU